rnacentral:rRNA from 1 species
GACGAACGCUGGCGGCGUGCUUAACACAUGCAAGUCGAACGGAAAGGCCCUGCUUUUGUGGGGUGCUCGAGUGGCGAACGGGUGAGUAACACGUGAGUAACCUGCCCUUGACUUUGGGAUAACUUCAGGAAACUGGGGCUAAUACCGGAUAGGAGCUCCUGCUGCAUGGUGGGGGUUGGAACGUUUCGGCGGUUGGGGAUGGACUCGCGGCUUAUCAGCUUGUUGGUGGGGUAGUGGCUUACCAAGGCUUUGACGGGUAGCCGGCCUGAGAGGGUGACCGGCCACAUUGGGACUGAGAGACGGCCCAGACUCCUACGGGAGACAGCAGUGGGGAAUAUUGCACAAUGAGCGGAAGCCUGAUGCAGCAACGCCGCGGGCGGGAUGACGGCCUUCGGGUUGUAAACCGCUUUCGCCUGUGACGAAGCGUGAGUGACGGUAAUGGGUGAAGAAGCACCGGCUAACUACGUG